rnacentral:rRNA from 1 species
UACGUAGGGGGCAAGCGUUGUCCGGAUUUAUUGGGCGUAAAGAGCGUGUAGGCGGCCAUACAGGUCAGCUGUGAAAACUCGAGGCUCAACCUCGAGACGUCGGUUGAAACCGUAUGGCUAGAGUCCGGAAGAGGAGAGUGGAAUUCCCGGUGUAGCGGUGAAAUGCGCAGAUAUCAGGAGGAACACCGGUGGCGAAGGCGGGUCUCUGGGCCAUUACUGACGCUGAGGAGCGAAAGCGUGGGGAGCGAACAGG